GAUGAACGCUAGCUACAGGCUUAACACAUGCAAGUCGCGGGGCAGCAUGGGGGUUGCUUGCCAUCCCCGAUGGCGACCGGCGCACGGGUGAGUAACGCGUAUCCAACCUGCCCUUCACCACGGGAUAACCCGGCGAAAGUCGGACUAAUACCGUAUGUUGUCCAUUGACGGCAUCCGAUUUGGACGAAAGGCUUGGCGGUGAGGGAUGGGGAUGCGUCCGAUUAGCCAGACGGCGGGGUAACGGCCCACCGUGGCUACGAUCGGUAGGGGUUCUGAGAGGAAGGUCCCCCACACUGGAACUGAGACACGGUCCAGACUCCUACGGGAGGCAGCAGUGAGGAAUAUUGGUCAAUGGGCGUAAGCCUGAACCAGCCAAGUAGCGUGCAGGAUGACGGCCCUAUGGGUUGUAAACUGCUUCUAUGCGGGGAUAAAGUGGCCCACGUGUGGGCUUUUGCAGGUACCGCAUGAAUAAGGACCGGCUAAUUCCGUG
rnacentral:rRNA from 1 species